GAUGCCGCGAAACCUGUGAUCUCUGUCCGCGUCGUGAAGCCCGCGGAGAAAGCCGGCUAGGAGACAACGCAGAGUCGAAACCGCCAGCGUACCGGAGGCACCCCCGAUCGGCACGGUGGCGAAAUCGUCGAUGCGGCUGGCCAGAAAUGUCCGCACCAGGUUUUCGCCGACAAUCUCGA
rnacentral:misc_RNA from 1 species